rnacentral:rRNA from 1 species
UUAGUGAUCCGGUGGUUCUGAAUGGAAGGGCCAUCGCUCAACGGAUAAAAGGUACUCCGGGGAUAACAGGCUGAUACCGCCCAAGAGUUCAUAUCGACGGCGGUGUUUGGCACCUCGAUGUCGGCUCAUCACAUCCUGGGGCUGAAGUAGGUCCCAAGGGUAUGGCUGUUCGCCAUUUAAAGUGGUACGCGAGCUGGGUUUAGAACGUCGUGAGACAGUUCGGUCCCUAUCUGCCGUGGGCGCUGGAGAAUUGAGGGGGGCUGCUCCUAGUACGAGAGGACCGGAGUGGACGCAUCACUGGUGUUCGGGUUGUCAUGCCAAUGGCACUGCCCGGUAGCUAAAUGCGGAAGAGAUAAGUGCUGAAAGCAUCUAAGCACGAAACUUGCCCCGAGAUGAGUUCUCCCUGAGACUUUAAGUCUCCUGAAGGAACGUUGAAGACGACGACGUUGAUAGGCCGGGUGUGUAAGCGCAGCGAUGCGUUGAGCUAACCGGUACUAAUGAACCGUGAGGCUUAACCUUACAACGCCGAAG